UAAGCGGAGGAAAAGAAACCAACAGGGAUUGCCUCAGUAGCGGCGAGUGAAGCGGCAAGAGCUCAGAUUUGAAAUCUCACCUAGUGUGCGAGUUGUAAAUUGCAGGUUGGAGUCUCGGGUUAGACGUGUGUGCAAGUCCCUUGGAACAGGGCGCCACUGAGGGUGAGAGCCCCGUAGCGUGCAUGUCGACACCUGUGAGGCCCUUCUGACGAGUCGAGUUGUUUGGGAAUGCAGCUCUAAGUGGGUGGUAAAUUCCAUCUAAGGCUAAAUAUUGGCGAGAGACCGAUAGCGAACAAGUACUGUGAAGGAAAGAUGAAAAGCACUUUGAAAAGAGAGUGAAACAGCACGUGAAAUUGUUGAAAGGGAAGGGUAUUGGGCUCGACAUGGGAUUUACGCAUCGUUGCCUCUUGUGGGCGGCGCUCUGGGUUUUUCCUGGGCCAGCAUCGGUUUUCGUUGCAGGAUAAGGACAAUUGGAAUGUGGCUCCUCGGAGUGUUAUAGCCUUUUGUAGAUGCUGCGUAUGGGGACCGAGGGCUGCGGCGGACU
rnacentral:rRNA from 1 species